rnacentral:rRNA from 1 species
AUGCCGCGUCGCCGACAUCGCUCCCAUCAUCAUCGUUGGCACAUAAGUCUGGUCGCCACAGAGAUCCUCUCAGGGCCGCCGCCCCGACAUCCACCGCUCCAUUGCGCCCAGCGCACUCCACCAGCACCGCCUUCCGGGGCCGCCGCCCCGACAUACCACCGCUCCCCUGAGCAGCAACGCCGCAUAGCCCAGCUGCCCGCAGCCCACGCUGCUCAGGGCACCUGCUCGCAGACCACAAAUGUCGCACCACAUCCAGGGCCGCCGCCCCGACAUAAAGUCAUACUGCCCCCUCUAGGGCGCAUCGACAGGGCCGACACCGCCACCGCCCAAGUGGGACAAGGAUGCCACCCAACCAAUGUCGAGAUAAAGCCCCACCUCAUAGAGCUGCCACUCGCAUUGUUCCCGAGAUCGCCAUCUCGGCGCACAAACAGAAACAACCCGGAGCCGCCGCCUCGACGUCCACUGUACCCGCCGACAAAGAGAUCCGUGCAAACCGCAAAAUGCUGA